AGAGUUUGAUCCUGGCUCAGAGCGAACGCUAGCGGCGGGCUUAACACAUGCAAGUCGAGCGGAGGGGCAACCCUUAGCGGCGAACGGGUGAGUAACGCGUAGGUAACGUGCCUUCAGGUGGGGAACAACCGUGGGAAACCAUGGCUAAUACCGCAUAAUGUCGAAAGAUGAAAGCCCUCGGGCGCCUGGAGAGCGGCCUGCGUCCCAUUACCUAGUUGGUAGGGUAACGGCCUACCAAGGGAACGAUGGGUAGCUGGUCUAAGAGGAUGAUCAGCCACACUGGAACUGAGACACGGUCCAGACUCCUGCGGGAGGCAGCAGUGGGGAAUAUUGCGCAAUGGGGGAAACCCUGACGCAGCCACGCCGCGUGAGUGAAGAAGGCCUUCGGGUCGUAAAGCUCUGUCGGGAGAGACGAAGGGGUAAAACUCUGACGGUAUCUCGCAAGAAAGCACCGGCUAACUCUGUGCCAGCAGCCGCGGUAAUACAGAGGGUGCAAGCGUUGCUCGGAUUUACUGGGCGUAAAGCGUACGCAGACGGACCGUCAAGUCGGGAGUGAAAGCCCUGGGCUCAACCCAGGAACGGCUUUCGAUACUAGCGGUCUUGAGUUUGGGAGAGGGAAGCGGAAUUCCUGGUGUAGAGGUGAAAUUCGUAGAUAUCAGGAGGAACACCGGCGGCGAAGGCGGCUUCCUGGCCCAAUACUGACGUUCAGGUACGAAAGCGUGGGUAGCAAACAGGAUUAGAUACCCUGGUAGUCCACGCUGUAAACGAUUAGUGCUGGAUGUCGGAGGUAUUCACCCCUUCGGUAUCGAAGCUAACGCGUUAAGCACUCCGCUUGGGGAGUACGGCCGCAAGGUUGAAACUCAAAGGAAUUGACGGGGGCCCGCACAAGCGGUGGAGUAUGUGGUUUAAUUCGACUACGCGCAGAACCUUACCCAGCCUUGACAUCCUUGGAACCGAGUGGAAACACUUGGGUGCUCUCGCAAGAGAGAGCCAGGAGACAGGUGCUGCAUGGCUGUCGUCAGCUCGUGUCGUGAGAUGUUCGGUUAAGUCCGGCAACGAGCGCAACCCCUGUCUUCAGUUGCCAUCAUUUAGUUGGGCACUCUGGAGAGACUGCCGGCGUCAAGCCGGAGGAAGGUGGGGAUGACGUCAAGUCCUCAUGGCCUUUAUGGUUGGGGCUACACACGUACUACAAUGAUGACUACAAAGGGCAGCCAACCCGCGAGGGGGAGCAAAUCCC
rnacentral:rRNA from 1 species